rnacentral:tRNA from 1 species
GGAGGGAUGGCAGAGUGGACGAUUGCGACGGUCUUGAAAACCGUUGAGGUGCAAGCCUCCGGGGGUUCGAAUCCCCCUCCCUCCG